GACGUAGGGCGCGAGCGUUGUCCGGAUUUAUUGGGCGUAAAGAGCUCGUAGGCGGCUUGUUGCGUCGGCUGUGAAAACCCGUGGCUUAACUGCGGGCUUGCAGCUGAUACGGGCGGGCUGGAGUUCGGUAGGGGAGACUGGAAUUCCUGGUGUAGCGGUGGAAUGCGCAGAUAUCAGGAGGAACACCGGUGGCGAAGGCGGGUCUCUGGGCAGUAACUGACGCUGAGGAGCGAAAGCGUGGGGAGCGAACAGG
rnacentral:rRNA from 1 species